rnacentral:lncRNA from 1 species
CGACUGUAAAUGUCUGAGAAAAAAAUUAGACGCACUGGUGCAGCUGAGCGGAUUGAAGCUCAUGAAUAAAUUAACACUCAGCAGGUGCCAAAUGCCAGUCAAGACUGCAAAGACUAUGACUGAAUUAUGUACAUUUGUAGUCUAACACACUGCGUGCUUAAGAGUAAAGCUUAAGGUCUCCGUGGGGCUUUCCACAAAAAUUAAAGCUCUGUGCUUUAAUGAGUGAAUGCAAAUAAAUUAAGACGUCAAUAAAUAUUAGUAUUGUAAUUUUAUUUAUGUAAAUUAAACUGUUAUUUUUGCAGAUUUUACAGCUUUUAUUUUUUUAUUUUUGCUCACACAAUGUUCCCGAUUUCUGUCAUAAAAGCUCCGUUCUCUCAUGCUUACUUGCACAUGACUUCAACUGUUCCUACAUUUUUUGAAUGUGCUCUUAAAUUUUUUAAAUUAGGAGUGCUCCUAAAAAUUGUAAGCCCUGCAAGCAACACAUCACUUACCUUAUCACCCUUAAGUCCUUGUGGAAAGUGAAGUAUACCUGUGCCUUUACGUGCCAAAGUUUACACUUACGGUUAGAGGUCUGUUAGCAACAGUUCAAAAACUCGAAAAUAAAAUUAAUCAAUGACCUUUAAGCCGAUGGGUCCAGAUUGUCCUUGAGGCCCAGGCAUGCCCACACCUGCCUCUCCUUUGACUCCUUUGGGCCCAGAUGGUCCUCUCAUUCCCUGAACAUUGAAUGUGCAAAAGUCUUUAAAUGAAGCAUGUAUUAUAUUGGAGAUGAAAUGGAUGAUGGUUGCUGGCAGUUCUGCCUCUGAAGUGACUGCAGGUACUCACAUUCUCACCAGGAUCUCCAGGAUCACCCGCAGCACCCUGUCUGCCAGCUUCUCCAAGUUCACCGGCUCGUCCUGGUACUCCUGGUAUUCCUGGCUUUCCGGGUUCACCUGCCUGUCCUGGUGGACCUUCUGGGCCUCUUUCUCCAAUUGCCCUGCCUGGAGGACCCUGUGGGCCAGGAGGCCCUUUCUCACCCUGCUCUCCUUUCACACCUCGUUCACCUGGAAGACCUUGUGCACCCUGAAUGCCAGUAUGCAAGGAAGAGAAAACUAGGUUUAAAAAAGGAAGAAGAGAAGAGGAUAAGAACGUGAAGAAAUACAGAGAGUUGCUGGAUGUUUUCUAACCAGAAAUACAUUUCAGCACCAUGGUCAGCGGCCAAUGAGUUUUUGCAUGAUCUUUAUUGCAAAAGGUAUCGUGACACUACUCAUCCAACUAUUCAACUACCAGACAGCACUCAGUCUCACAUACGCACAAUUUUAACUCACAUCUGCUCCUGGAUGGCCUCUGGGUCCGACAUCUCCUUUUUCGCCCCUCUUUCCUUCUGUCAGUUCACUCAACUUUGAUACCAGACUGCUUCUGUUAUCAACUAAUAGUUUCAGUUCUCUGACCUGCAAAGAAUAGGAGAGAGGGUGACAUUUACAUCUACAUACAAACUCUGUAAAUCUUGUUGAUAAAUUUCUCUGUACCUCAAUGCCAAAUUCUGACAAAGAUUUCUUCACAUCCUAUGACAAACGGGGACAACAACAUUAAUCAUCUUGCCAGCCGUGCAUGUGUGACUUUGUGUGCGUGAGCGUUUUCCUCACCACUACAUUUCCUGGUUUACCAUAGUCUCCUGGAUCUCCCUGUCAAUCAAAAGAGUUGAAUUAUUACAGUCAGGUAUGCUGAGAACUGCCUUGUGUCAGCUCUGAGAGCAGUGACCACUAAAAGACACAUUCGUUAAAAUAUACUCACCGCAUCUCCUUUCAAGCCUGGCAGACCUCUCUCCCCCUACAAAGGUCACAUUAUGACAACAUCAUGUGUCAUGAUAUCUAAAAAAACACAGCAUAUUUACUUACACACACACACUCACACAUACAGACAAACUUACUCUUGGUCCAGCAGCUCCUGGGACUCCAGGUACUCCCUGAGUGAUAAAAAGUAAUACAUAUGAAAGAUACCUACCAAAUCACAGGAAGAAAACAGCAGGUACAGACAAGGAGUACAAAAUGAAACAGCCGGCACUUACAAACAAGAAUAGCCUUUACAAGCCUUUAUAUGUUACAUGCUUACCUUUGAUGCCAUGUAGUGAAUGAAAUUCACAAAAUAGUAAAAAUAACAUUUUCCGUAACAUAGCUGUCAGAGAAGCCUUAAAAUGUACAUUUUGAAAGUGUUAUGUAGUGCUGAAUAUGAUAAGCUGUGAUGGACUUGUUUUGUGUUGUGAAAGGCAGGAAGAGAGUGAGAACAGGAUGAUCAGGAAGAUAAAGACAAAGAGACUCACAUCUCUUCCAGUGGGCCCCGGCUCUCCUUUAUCUCCCUGCAAAGAAGGCAUAACCAGAUUCGAUCAGAGGCUAAUUAUCAAAAUUUACAAUGUAAUCACAUACAAGAUUUCACCAAUAGGUGUUUUAUUACCUUUCGACCAUCCUCUCCUGGCACGCCAUCCUCGCCCUGAAAAAGAUAGAAAAUGAGGCAUUAAACACAGACAUCUGGAUGAGAGCGAGGCACAUUUUCAUAAUUUCUGUAAUCAAGACUUCCUGUAAUCAGCUCUUCCUGUUUUGGUAUGAGAACGCUUGUAAUUUUGAGCGACUCAUUCUAGCAGUAAUUUUUCUUUUAAACGCUUUGUGCGACACGCAGCCUCAUAUUACGGACAUAUGACGGGUGCCAUCCAGCCCAAUAUAGCUCCUGCAAUUACCACAGCUGGUUCAGGGCUGUGAUCAGUAAAUCAGAAGAAACUGCAGGACGAGCGGGUUUUGCGUAAGAUCUGCUCCAACGGCGUAAUCUUUAUGAGUCAGGUCAACCAAACAUAAGUACACGGCUGACUGAAACUCCUCACAUAUUUUAACUAUAAAGCAUUUAUUAGUCAGAGUUACCUCCCACUGAAAGCUCAUUAGGCUACUAAGAGAGGGUGAUUUAUUAUCAGCAGGAUUUAAUCAUCUCAUUUAUG